UCCAUUGUUCAGCCGCCUCAGCUUUGGAAGAUGAUGGUGGCAGGGCGGCGGGGUCAUUUUGCCCCAUAUUGAUGCUGUCGGACAGUCGGUAGCCAUCUGAUUCAUCACGAUGGACAUUCUUCUAUAUAAUGAAGGCACUAAUUAUAUACAAAUAUAUUCAGAGGUCUGAAUGUCAUUCACUCCCUGUAACGCCAGCAUCUGCAGCAUGAUGUCAUCAAUUGAGCUGGUGACAGCAUCCAUGACAUUGAACUCAUGGGACUCAAGAUUCUAAUGCAGUUAGUUUUUCCUCCUCUGAGACAGCGCCUAUCACAUUACAUCUUAGAGAUUCACAUUUUGGACAAACAUCAGUUCGGGGAGAGGCAAUUUUGAUUCUUUCCGUUUCCUGGGCAUGAGGACGUAUACCCAUGGAUGCUGUUUCAUCUCGUCCCUGGAUCUCGCAAAGAAGUGAAUGGAUAAGAGCUGGACAAAAGGUUUGGAAACAACCUUGAAAGUUCCAUUGACGAACCAUGACCUUGCUGAAUUUAGGUGCUCCAGUUUUAGGUCUGAUGCAAAUAUUUCUAUUGACAAAGUACUGGGUUCCAUGAAGUCCUAUUCAAUCUUAAAAAGUGUGAUUUUUUUAACAUUAGAAAAAAUAAUAUGAAAUGCACAAUAUUUUUUCUUCAAUUUCUUGUAAAGAUAAAAUCGCUUUGAAGUUCAUUUCAUGUCUUUGGGCUCCUCUUGCUGAUAUUCCUCCCUC